UGUAAGAUGCGACAAUUAUGCCCGCAUUACAGCAGCAAUGACGAUUUAAUUAUAUCAUCGUGCUUCUUUAUGAGCAAUCACAAAAGAACCUGGCAACAUUGCCCAGGUUCUUUUUUA
rnacentral:sRNA from 1 species